rnacentral:tRNA from 1 species
UCCCUGGUGGCUUAGAUGGUAAAGCUUCUGCCUGCAAUGCGGGAGACCUGGCUUCAAUCUCCGGGUCAGGAAG